AGUUUUCAAUUAUCAUCUGAAGUUAUUGUUUAGUUCUCUGGCUUCACUUAGUGUUUGGGGCAUGGAAAUAGAGCUUAAAGAUAUAUAGACUGACAGGCAUGGAGUCAUGGAAACAUAAAUUCUUUUCCUAAAAUAGGGUAGAUGAAGCUCAUCAGAAAGUAUAGCAACCAUGCCUUGUGAAAUGAAAAUGCUUGAAGAAAAAUCCUCUUGAUCCUGGAUUUCUGAAAAUAUUGUCUUCGUUGCUUUUCUUGAUGUUAGUGAUCCUGCCCUGAAGCGUGCUAUCACAAGGGAAGCAUCAUUGUUAAGUCUUAAGUUUUAUUUUCCCAUUUUUGUUUCCCUAAACAGGUAUGAAAAGGGUGAAUGGGAUGAAUUCAAUUAUUUCAUAUCAGUGAUAUAAAAACAGAACAUCCAUGUCAAUUCACAGUCAGAAGAGAAAAGCAGAAGACAUGAUAAUGAAGAUUUUCAGGUUGUUUCCUGAGUGAUUGAAACACAAGGAUUAAGAACAAAAAAAUGGAGAAAGGAAGAAACUGGAAUCAAUAGAUAUAGAAAGAGAUGAAGAGAGUGAAAGAAAGUUGUGAAAAAGGGAGAAAAAAAGCAAACGGUAAAUUUUUUUUCUAUAUAUAUUUUCUGUAAAUCUCUAGGAACAAUUUACUACUUGCAGGAAUGAGAUUCAAUGGUUUUAUUUACUCCCUUUCUGGGUCAAAGUUUGACAAUGCAGGAACAUAAAUCAUCCCCAUUAACACUGUGAAGACGAGACCCACUUUUCUGCUAAGAGUUCAGACUGCAUUUAUAGUACAUAUCAAGCAAUUUCUUCGCUGUCCUGCUAGUGACAUAAAUGGUCCAGCAAUCAAGACCAACUCUCAAGUAUUUAUGACAACAAACUGCUGUUGUUCCCCCAAGCAUUAUUAGUGAUUUGUAUUAACAUAGUCUUUCAUCACGUCUCUCUAAUUCUUGCAACAGAAGAUAAAAGCAAAUAUAGCAGGCAUUUUCCCCUGAUUCUCUCUAGUUCUUGCAACAGAAGAUUAAAGCAAAUAUAACAGCCAUUUUUCACACAGUUAGAUCCCAAAAGGAACAGUUAGAUAAAUGACCAAUACAUCUGUUUGUAACGUGUACGUUGGAGGGCAAAUGUUAUCUGGACAUUGGACCAAACAGCGCCAUGGAAUCUUUUAUGACUACCUGGCAUCAAUUCAAAGACGACUUAUUCAUAAUUGUGGCGUGCUACCUAAUUUAAAAUGGAAAUUCUGAUCAU